CCCGGGGCCGUGCGGCGCUGCGUACGUGCGUCACUGAGCGGCGCCGCGGCGUGGCGGCGGGCGCGCGGCGGGCCGUCCCCUCGCCAUGGCCGACAUGGAGGAGCUCUUCGGCAGCGACGCCGACUCGGAGGCCGAGCAGAAAGAUUCCGAUUCUGGAUCUGAAUCUGAUUCCGAUCAGGAGAAUGCUGGCUCUGGUAGUAAUGCUUCUGGAAGCGACAGUGACCAGGAUGACGACAGGGAGGCAAUAAAACCUAGUAAUAAGGAGCUAUUUGGAGAUGAUAGCGAGGAUGAAGGGGCAUCCCAUCACACAGGGAGUGACAACCACUCUGAACGAUCCUACAAUCGCUCUGAAGCUUCGGGACAUUCGGAGCAUGAAGAUAACGAUCAGUCAGACGCAGACCAGCACAGCGUUUCAGAAGCUGCUCAUGAUGAUGAGGAGGAUGAUCGGGGGCAUGCCUCAGAUGAAGGCAGUCAUCAUUCAGAGGCAGAUGGUUCCGAGAAAGCACAUUCGGAGGAUGAGAAGUGGGGCAAGGAGGACAAAAGUGAUCAGUCAGACGAUGAGGAGAGGCAGCAGAACUCCGAUGAUGAGGAGAGACAGCAGAACUCUGAAGACGAGGAGAAAGUGCAGAACUCUGAUGAAGAUGAAAGGCCACAGAUGUCUGAUGAUGAGGAAAGACUCCAGAACUCAGACGAGGAGAAAAUGCAGAACUCAGAUGAUGAGGAGAGGCCGCAGGCCUCAGAUGAGGAGAAGAUGCAGAACUCCGAUGAUGAUGAAAGGGCCCAGCAUUCUGACGAGGAGAAGAUGCAGAACUCUGACGAUGACGAAAGGGCCCAACAUUCCGAUGAGGAGGACCAAGAGCAUAAAUCUGUAGAGUCUGCAAGGGGCAGUGACAGUGAAGAUGAAAUUCUGCGAAUGAAGCGAAAGAAACCAAUUGCAUCGGAUUCAGAAGUGGACAGUGAUACAGAAGGACAGAAAGAGCAUGCAGAUGUCAUGGAUCUGUUUGGAGGUGCAGAUGACAUUUCCUCAGGAAGCGACGGAGAAGACAAGCCACCAACUCCAGGACAGCCCAUUGAUGAGAAUGGACUGAGUCAAGAACAGCAGGAAGAAGAACCUAUUCCAGAGACUAGAAUAGAGGUAGAAAUACCGAAAGUAAACACAGACUUGGGUAAUGAUUUGUAUUUUGUGAAGCUGCCCAACUUCCUUAGCGUGGAGCCCAGACCUUUUGAUCCCCAGUAUUAUGAAGAUGAAUUUGAAGAUGAGGAGAUGCUUGAUGAAGAGGGCAGAACUAGGUUAAAACUCAAGGUGGAAAACACAAUACGAUGGCGCAUGCGACGAGAUGAGGAAGGGAAUGAGAUCAGAGAAAGUAAUGCGCGGAUAGUCAAAUGGUCAGAUGGAAGCAUGUCUCUCCACUUGGGCAACGAGGUGUUUGACGUGUACAAGGCGCCACUACAGGGAGAUCACAACCAUUUGUUUAUCAGACAAGGGACGGGUCUACAAGGACAGGCUGUUUUCAAGACAAAGUUAACCUUCAGGCCACACUCUACGGACAGUGCCACUCACAGGAAGAUGACUCUGUCUCUGGCAGACAGAUGUUCAAAGACCCAGAAGAUUCGUAUUUUGCCGAUGGCAGGUCGUGAUCCAGAGUCUCAGCGCACAGAAAUGAUUAAGAAAGAAGAGGAGAGAUUAAGAGCUUCCAUUCGCAGAGAAUCUCAGCAGCGAAGAAUGCGGGAGAAGCAGCAUCAGCGUGGCCUGAGUGCAAAUUAUUUGGAACCUGACCGCUAUGAUGAAGAGGAUGAGGGAGACGAUGCAAUCAGUCUAGCAGCUAUCAAAAACAGAUACAAAGGUGGCAUCAGAGAGGAACGUGCUAGAAUCUACUCUUCUGACAGUGAUGAAGGCUCAGAUGAAGAUAAAACACAAAGACUACUUAAGGCAAAGAAACUUACUAGUGAUGAGUAACUCUAAUUUAGGGCAUACAAGUGUCAAUACCCUGAAAAUAUAGCAAAGCUACACAGGCUGCCUGCAGGGAAAGCUUCUGUGUAUUGAAAAAUCCACUACGAAUUCGAGGAAUUGCCCGGGCUUGUAAGACUUGCUGAGAAUGAUUUUGCACCUGCCAUAAAUCCAGACUGUGACACACAUUACUUCCGUGCCACAGUUCAGUUUGAAGCAGAUAUGGUUGCACGUCCGUUGAGGAAGGUGAACCUUCUGGAAAGAGAAAAGCAGAGGAUGAUGACAAAGCAAGUAAGAAGCAUAAGAAAUAUGUGAUCAGCGAUGAAGAGGAAGAUGAUGACGAUUAAGGAAGCACAAAAGUUG